CGCAGCAAUCGCGAGUAUAGUGAAAAUGCUCACGCGUUUGAUCACUUUUAAACCGCACCGGGGGUUAGUAUGUGGGUGAGCAAAAUAGGGCCGUUGCCGUCGGGACCGACAAAAUCACCAAAUUUGCUCACUAGAAAGGGGCGAGAGCAAACAUGCACUGAAAAAAAUCUACCAUUUAAGGCUAAGUUCAACAAACGAUGUUUAUUAAAAUUUUGUAAUUUUGGUAAACAAUUUGUUGAUUAAUUAAGCAAUUGUGGCUUUUCUUUUGAUUCGUUCGAACGUGCGGACGGAAUUUUGUUCGCGGGGGGAUCGGAAAUGUGUCGAAAAUUAUAUAGAGCCAUUUUGGAAGUAUUCUGUGCUGGGUCGAAAGAGGUGAAAAUUUAGGCCCUCGGAAUCGGUGGCCCAGGGUUUGUUCUUCGCAGCCGAGUGGGUCGUCGGAAUUAGCAUAAUUUUGAACAGUGCAGAACUUGCAAUUGACCAGCAUCGAGUAACAACAACGUAAGCAAUGCAGGUUGGAAAAGUAUAGGCAGCAGAUAGAAAAAAAAACUUCACUGUCUGACCGGGGCCAUGAGCAGCAUCUUUAGCAGAUAAGUUUGAACCGGGGCAAUGACGCAUACAAUCCUCCUUCUCGCUGCGCUGCACCAGGGAAAACGGUUCCGACUCACUGAAGCCAAAGUCUUGGACCAGCGGCGGAAAACCUCCUGUUUGAUCGUGGAACUCCACAGCAGCUGGCAUAUUUCGCGCAAGUUCCGCUGAAUUUCGGAUGAUUCCGGCUGACACUGCACAGAAUUCACUUAAGUUCUAGCUGCAUCCGCAACCUGACCCGGUUGCUGGUCGCUCGAAACUGCGUGGCCCUGUUGCUGCUGUAUGGCAUCUUCAACCAGCAUGUCGACUUUGGCGUCACAUAACGGAUAGCAGUUAACCCGUCGAAUAACCUCCAACAAUCGCUAUGCAUAAUAAUAAUUAAUAAUUAAUAAAAAUGAUAAUAACCGAAA